UACGUAGGUGGCAAGCGUUUGUCCGGAUUUACUGGGCGUAAAGAGCGCGCAGGCGGUCGUUCAAGUCGCGUGUGAAAGCCCCCGGCUCAACUGGGGAGGGUCACGCGAUACUGAUCGACUCGAAGGCAGGAGAGGGUAGUGGAAUUCCCGGUGUAGUGGUGAAAUGCGUAGAUAAUCGGGAGGAACACCAGUGGCGAAGGCGGCUAACUGGUCCGGAUCGUGACGCUGAGGUGCGAAAGCGUGGGGAGCAAAGCAGGAUUA
rnacentral:rRNA from 1 species